rnacentral:lncRNA from 1 species
AAGUACCCGGAUUUGGGGGCGCCACAGGUUGGUAUCAAAGCAGUAGGUUAUAAACGUUAGGAAUGCGAAACCUAGGUUAUAACCUUAGUAGAAUGGAUAACGAAAGUUAAGAUAGAUAUUCAGUAGACGAAGAACUCUGGUGAAGAAUUAUAACCUUAGUAGAAUGGAGGACUAAAGUUAAGAUAGAUAUUCAGUGAACCAGGAGACGAAGUACUCUGGUGAGAAGUUAUAGGAUAUGAUGAGUUGAAGAGAUUCAUUGAGUUUUAGUGGUACUAAAUAAAAUAUUACUUCAUUUUAAUGAUGAAUAUAUUUUAUUUCAGUAAUGAUGUUGUUUCGUUCAUUGUGGUCAUAUGAUAGAUGACGAAAGUCAAGAUAGUAAUUCCUUGACUCAAGAGACGAUGGACUCUAGCGAGGAGUACAUGGACAGUGAGAUGAUAAAAGAUUUGUUAGUUAGAAAUGACGACUUAAAGGUUAGAGCUGAGCAGGCAGAGGCACAGAAUUGUACUCUCCAGAUUUCAGAACAGCAGUACAAGGACGCUGCUCACCGAACACAGAUGGAGUUAGCCGAGCUACGAGAGAGGUUGGAGCAGAGGGAGAUACAGAUAGGACAGUUGAAGGUUUAGGUAGAAGCCAAAGACACAAGGAUAUAUACCUUGGAGCAGGCUUUAGACAUCGCCUUUAUGCGAUUCGACACGAAGUGGAUGGAGCUACCUUUCGGCAGAGAAAGAUAGGCGUUGAUGAGAAUUGAAUAAUUCAUCGUCAAACAAAAUAAGAG